rnacentral:antisense_RNA from 8 species
AGAAGGGCUUCCGGAACUCCGUUUCGGGGGCCUUUUUCUUUUGC